AUUGAACGCUGGCGGCAGGCUUAACACAUGCAAGUCGAGCGAGCGGCGGACGGGUGAGUAAUGUCUGGGAAACUGCCUGAUGGAGGGGGAUAACUACUGGAAACGGUAGCUAAUACCGCAUACCAUCAGAUGUGCCCAGAUGGGAUUAACUAGUAGGUGGGGUAAUGGCUCCCCUAGGCGACGAUCCCUAGCUGGUCUGAGAGGAUAAACAGCCACACUGGAACUGAGACACGGUCCAGACUCCGACGGGAGGCAGAAGGGGGGAAUAGUGCACAAGUGGCGCAAGCCUGAUGCAGCCAGGCCGCGUGUGUGAAGAAGGCCUUCGGGUUGUAAAGCACUUUCAGCGAGGAGGCGUUACUCGCAGAAGAAGCACCGGCUAACUCCGUGCCAGCAGCCGCGGUAAUUC
rnacentral:rRNA from 1 species